rnacentral:rRNA from 1 species
GAGUUUGAUCCUGGCUCAGAUUGAACGCUGGCGGCAGGCCUAACACAUGCAAGUCGAGCGGUAGAGAGGUGCUUGCACCUCUUGAGAGCGGCGGACGGGUGAGUAAUGCCUAGGAAUCUGCCUGGUAGUGGGGGAUAACGUUCAGAAACGAACGCUAAUACCGCAUACGUCCUACGGGAGAAAGCAGGGGACCUUCGGGCCUUGCGCUAUCAGAUGAGCCUAGGUCGGAUUAGCUAGUUGGUGAGGUAAUGGCUCACCAAGGCGACGAUCCGUAACUGGUCUGAGAGGAUGAUCAGUCACACUGGAACUGAGACACGGUCCAGACUCCUACGGGAGGCAGCAGUGGGGAAUAUUGGACAAUGGGCGAAAGCCUGAUCCAGCCAUGCCGCGUGUGUGAAGAAGGUCUUCGGAUUGUAAAGCACUUUAAGUUGGGAGGAAGGGUUGUAGAUUAAUACUCUGCAAUUUUGACGUUACCGACAGAAUAAGCACCGGCUAACUCUGUGCCAGCAGCCGCGGUAAUACAGAGGGUGCAAGCGUUAAUCGGAAUUACUGGGCGUAAAGCGCGCGUAGGUGGUUCGUUAAGUUGGAUGUGAAAGCCCCGGGCUUAACCUGGGAACUGCAUUCAAAACUGACGAGCUAGAGUAUGGUAGAGGGUGGUGGAAUUUCCUGUGUAGCGGUGAAAUGCGUAGAUAUAGGAAGGAACACCAGUGGCGAAGGCGACCACCUGGACUGAUACUGACACUGAGGUGCGAAAGCGUGGGGAGCAACAGGAUUAGAUACCCUGGUAGUCCACGCCGU